GAGCGGCUGCGCACUGCACUCUGACCUUUGUGCGCCCUGUUCAGUUUAUGAGGUGCUUUCUUCAUCCCGUGAUCCCAGCCCUUGAGGAGAUGUGCCCCGAUGCCCCUGGUGAGGCUAGUGGCUGGUCCAAAGCCCCCGGCCAGGAAGAACAGUGCCCUCAAUUAGUCUCUACAUCGUAAUUGUCCACCAGUGAUUCAUAGAACAGAGCACUAGAUCCAGAUGAACAAGUCCCACUUUAUAGACGAAACUGAGGCCCAGAGAAGGACAGUGACAUGCUCAAAGUCACACAGCAUGCUGCUGCAGAGCCUGAGCUUCAAAAACUGACUCCUAAUUAAGCACCUAUGAGGUGCCCAGCAAUGUGCCAAUUCAUUCAUUCUGUCAGUGAGUAUUCACUGAGUGUCUGCUGUGUGCCUGGCUCCGUGCUGGAUGCAGUGGACGCAGUAAGGAGGCGGUCACUCCGGGAUUGUAGAAGGUCCAGGCUGGAGCCUAAGAAAUUCCAAGGACAUCUACAUGAUCUCCCAACAGCGUGCAAGGGAUGUUUCCUGGGAGUGUCACCUCCUCCUCCUCGUCGUGGGCUCCUCCUGUGCUGCCGCCGCCGCGUGCAGGGCCGGGUUGGGGCAGCAGCUGCAAUUAGCCCAGCUCAGCCGCCCGUUACUGGAACCUUCGUGUCGACUCUGGAGUUGAUCCUGGAAACCACACCCAGCAUCCCACAUGACUCAGCCUCACCUGCCCACCUCCACACCUGCCAGCCUGGGUGUCCGGGCUGCCGCAGAGGGGAAAGUCCCAGCAUCCUUGGGUCCAUCCUCAGCUGCCCCACGUGUUUGCAAGACAGGCUGGAAUUUAGAGUCCUCAGAUCAUAAGCUGGUUCCUUGGCUGAUUGCGAGCCAAGAGGGAAAACUCUAGCCAGGGCAAAUGCUGGGGUUUGGAAAAAUAGAAUGUCAGUGAAGGAUGUGUUUACUGUCUUCCCUAUCAUUGUUUGAAGUGCAAGCAGCUUAAGACCAUGAGAAAUAUUAACCUUUCGUAUAUCAAACUGGCCAAGAAUAAAAGGAAUACCCCUGAAGUUGAGAGCUGGUGAGGAUGUGAAGAAACCGGAGCUCGCCAUAAACCCUUGGUCUAGGUGUGAAUUAGGAGACCCUCUCUGAAGAACAGUUUGACAGUUUGUUUAAAAGCCUUAAAAAGCAUGCAUACCUUUUUACACAGCAAUUUCAUGUCUGAGAAUUUUUCCAAAGAAAAUAAUCGGAUAGGUGCACAAAGGUAUAUGUACAAGGGCUCUCAACUGUGGUGGUGUGCUAAAAUUGCAAGCAAAUGGUAGCAGCCUAAGUGUCAGUCAAAAGAGGAUAUUUGUUCACAUACUGGGCAGCUAUUAAAGAGACCCUCUGCAGCUAUAUUUACAGACCUGUAGAGUUGUCCAUAAUAUAUUAUUAAGUGGAGAAAAAAAGGGAAGUUUGCAUUCAUUGUGUAUAGUGCAAUCCCACAUUUACAAAAUGUUAGUGGUUGUG